rnacentral:antisense_RNA from 11 species
CAUAACCAAAGAUUACGAUUGGAUUUAAUGUUGGCGUUGUAAUUAAACGAACGUCACCACCACCUGGCGCCCAUGUAUCAUAAACACCACCUAAGUACAUUGCUUUAAUAACUAAUAAGAAUGAACCAACACCUAAUAAACAUAAAUGAAUACCUAAAAUAGUAGUCAUUUUAUUUUUAUCACGCCA